ensembl:lncRNA
GGCAGAUCACCAUGACUGAAGUGGUAGCAGGGAAGACUGUGACAAGCGCUGAAAGAAUCAAGGUCGUUGGGGCACUCUUGCAACAGGCCUUCUGGCACUAUGGCCUUCCGGAGGAUAUCGUCUCUGACCGUGGCCUGCAAUUCCUGUCACGAAUAUGGAAAGCCUUCAUGGAGAAGCUGGGGGUCAUGGUCAGUCUAACUUCCGGGUAUCGGCCUCAGUACUAUGGGCAGGUGGAUAGGAUGAACCAGGAACUGGGGAGGUUCCUUAGGAGUCACUGACAGGAUCGGCAGGGGGUGUGGGCCCAGUUAUUUCCCUGGGCGGAGUACGCCAAGAAUUCCCUACGUCACUCCUCCACUGGGCUGACCCCCAUCCAGUGUGUCCUGCAGUAUCAGCUGGCCCUGGAUCCGUGGACCCCGAGCCAGACCGAAGCUCCUACGGUGGACGAGUGGUUCAUGCACGCAGAGAAGGUUUGGAACAAUGCACACGUGAGGCUCCAGCAUGCUGUCCGCCGCCAGAAAGAUCAGACGGACCGCCACCUCAGUGAGGCUCCCGUGUUCCAUCCUGGUGAUCGCAUCUGGCUCUCCACCAGGAACCUCUCCCUCUGCCUGCCCUGUAGGAAGAUGAGCUUCUGGUUUGUGGGGGCCUUGAAGGUCCUCCUGGAGGGUGAAUGAGGUAACCUAUAAAUUACAACUCCCCACUAACUACCAAAUCUCACCCUCUUUUCAUGUUUUCCUCCUCAGGCCGGUGGUUCCUGGUUCCCCGCGACACCCCUCCAACUCCCCUGGACAUCGAUGGGAGCAAACGUCGUGGGGGACGGUCUCAGGACCUGGUGGACUGGAAAGGGUAAGGUCCAGAGGAGCGCUGGGGAUGGGUUACUGUUGCGCCUACUCCCCCUCUCCCGCUCCAGCACACGACGUCGCCAGUCUACUAACCACCGGUCCUGACGACCCACAUUACUCACACCUGAAUGUACGCCUACCACAUUGCACCUUGGUCUCCAUCUCUAAACGACCGUAAUAGAAGAUCCCACCACCAAAGGACCAAGCAGCGUGGUCAGGAGGAAUGGACCCAGGAGGAGAUCUUAGAUAGGAAAGGACCCUGGGUGCAGGCUGGAGAGUAUCGCCUUCCGAAGGAGGAGAUGGAGGCAGCUAAAGCGGAACGGCGACGUUACGAGGAGUUGGCUCAACGAAGCAAGCACAAGAGGCAACCCCCAAAAACAAAUUUGGGGGGAAGCACACGGGGAGUUUGACGAAGUUAGGGUUGAGACCUGAGCCAACUCCCUGUGUUUACCGUGGGGAGCGAGUGACUGGUCAAGCACCAUGUUAUCCGGUUCUGCGCACCAUGCCUUCGGUGCGAAAGCCACAGCCCAGUGCGCUCUCUGCAAGCUCCUCGCAGUUGCCGUGCUAGAGUGGGAAUUCAGCCAGGGGGGAUUGUGCUGGCUCAGCAUUCCUGGCCUUCGGUGCGUCUCUUUGGCCCAGGUUAUCCUGCACCAGCUCUACGCACGGUAUCCCCAGUUUGCCAGCACAACCCAGUGCGGCCUGCUCCAGCUCCCCGCAUUUGCCGGGCCACGGGGGGUAUCCAGCCAGGACGAGUUGUGCCAGCUCUGCGCUCCAGACCUCCGGUGCGCCUCCACGGUCCAGUGUGUCCAGCGCUGGCUCUACGCACUAUGCCUCCAGUGCGCCGUCAUAGCCCAGUGCAUCCGGUGCCAGCUCUCCACACUCACCGAGCUAGAGUGGGUAUCCAGCCAGGACGUGUUGUGGCAGCUCCACUCACUAGGCUGCCUGUACGUCUCCUCAGACCGGUGAGACCUGUUCCGGCUCCACGUAUGAAGCCUCCAGUGAUGAUCCAUGGCCCGGAGCCUCCAGUGAUGAUCCAUGGCACGAAGCCUGUAGUGGUAAUCCAUGGCACGAAGCCUCCAGUGAUGAUCCAUGGCCCAGAGCCUGUAGCGAUGUUCCAUGGCAAGGAGCCUGCAGUAACGGAUCCCAGUCCGGAGCCUGCAGCGACGGUCCCCAGUCCCAAGCCUCCAGCGACGGUCCGCAGUCCGGAGUCUCCAGCGAUGGUCCGCAGUCCAGAGUCUUCAGCAACAAGCUGCAGUCCAGAGCCUCCAGCGGGGGUUCCCAGUCCAGAGUCUCCAGCAAUGAUCUGCAGUCCGGAGCCUCCAGCGAUGUUUCCCAGUUCAGAGUCUCCAACGUAGAUCCACGGUCCGGUUCCACAGAAGCGAAGGGAUCAGCAUAGGGAGCGGGGGCUAUGUCCCGAACCGGAGCCGCCACCGAGGGUAGAUGCCCACCCGGACCCUCCCCUAUAGGUUCAGGUCUGCGGCCGGGAGUCCGCACCUUUGGGGGGGGGGAAUACUGUCACGCCCUGUCCUUGGGUUGUUCAUUUAAUAAAUUCAGAAUGUACGCCUACCACGCUGCACCUUGGUCUCCAUCUCUAAACGACCGUAGCAAAUAGUAAUAAUAAGAAGGAGAUCAAGGAAAACGGAGGGUCAUUAUUAUAAUUUUUUAAAUUCUGACCAUUUGGAACAGUGUAAACACUAAAUUAAUUAUAAAUAAUACCAGCUCUUGGGAGUUAUAGAAAUAACAACACUCAAAUAUAUUGGUUAUGCUUUGUAUUCUAAACUGUAUCAGACAUGCGUGUGUCCUGUUCUGGACUAUUCAGCAGGAGUGUGGGGUGCCAAGAGGUAUUUAAAAAAAUAAACAUGUCCAUAACAGAGCAAUACAUGACUGUUAAUAUGCCUUGUCUACUGUUGUUUUGGUUAGUUCUUAUUGUUUUAUUUCACUGUAGACCCCCCAGUCCCCCUCAACAUGCCUUAGAUAGCUCUUUUGCCUCACGCAUGAGGAGACCUCACCUGGCUUAACUAGUGCCUCCAGAGAUGUAACCUCUCUCAUUGUUACUCAAUGCCUAGGUGUUAACUCCACUGUACUCACAUCCUACCAUACUCUUGUCUGUACAUUAUACCCUGAAUCUAUUCUACCACGCCCAGAAAUCUGCGUCUUUUAUUCUCUGUUCCCAAUGCACUAGACGACCAGUUCUUAUAGCCUUUAGCUGUACCCUUAUCCUAAUCCUCCUCUGUUCCUCUGGUGAUGCAGAGGUUAACCCAGGCCCUGUAGCCCCCAGUACUACACCUAUUCCCCAGGCGCUCUCAUUUGUUGACUUCUGUAACCAUAAAAGCCUUGGUUUCAUGCAUGCUCCAGGUCAUCUAUAAGUCUUUGCUAGGUAAAGCCCCGCCUUAUCUCAGCUCACUGGUCACCAUAGCAACACCCACCCGUAGCAAGCGAUCCAGCAGGAAUAUUUCACUGGUCAUCCCCAAAGCCAACACUUCCUUUGCCCCCCUUUCCUUCCAGUUCUCUGCUGCAAAUGACUGGAACGAAUUGCAUAAGUCACUGAAGCUGGAGACAUAUCUCCCUCACUAACUAUAAGCAUUAGCUGUCAGAGCAGCUUACCGAUCACUGCAAGUGUACACAGCCCAUCUGUAAAUAGCCCACCCAACUACCUCAUCCCCAUAUUGUUAUUUUUUGCUCUUUUGCACCCCAGAAUUUCUACUUGCACAUCAUCAUCUGCAUAUCUGUCACUCCAGUGUUAAUGCUAAAUUGUAAUUAUUUUGCCACUAUGGCAUAUUUAUUGCCUUAUCUCCUUAAUCUUCUACAUUUGCACACACUGUUCAUAGAUUUUUCUAUUGUGUUAUUGACUGUACGUUUGUUUAUUCCAUGUAUAACUCUGUGUUGUUGUUUUUGUCGCACUGCUUUGCUUUAACUUGGCCAGGUCGCAGUUUUAAAUUAAAACUUGUUCUCAACUGGCCUACCUGGUUAAAUAAAGGUGAAAUAAUAAAAAAAAGCCUUUGUUUUUUUUCUUCCCAUAUUUAUUUAUUUUACCUUUAUUUAACUAGGCAAGUCAGAUAAGAACAAAUUCAUAUUUUCAAUCACGGCCUAGGAACAGUGGGUUAACUUCCUUGUUCUGUGGAGAACGACAGAUUUUUACCUUGUCAGCUCAGGGAUACAAUCUUGCAACCUUUACGGUUACUAGUCCAACGCUCUAGCCACUAGGCUGCGUGCAUGCGUGCACUACCAUUCAAAAGUUUGGGGUCACUUUGAAAAAGCACAUUUUUGGUCUAUUAAAAUAACAUAAAAUUGAUCAGAAAUACAGUGUAGACAUUGUACAAUGUAAAUGACUAUUGUAGCAGGAAACGGCUGAUUAAAAAAAGGUUGAAUAUCUACGUAGGCGUACAGAGGCCCAGAAACAAAGUACUUUCUUCUGAAACUAAUCAGUCUAUUCUUGUUCUGAGAAAUUAAUGCUAUUCUAUGUGAGAAAUUGCCAAGAAACUGAAGAUCUUGUACAAUGCUGUGCACUACUCCCUUCACAGAACAGCGCAAACUGAAUAGAAAGAGGGGCAGAAAGAGUUGCCGGAGGCCCAGGUGCACAUCUGAGCAAGAGCACAAGUACAUUAAAGUAGUCUAGUUUGAGAUACAGACGCCUCACAAGUCCUCAACUAGCAGCUUCAAUAAAUAGUACCUGCAAAACACAAGUCUCGACGUCGACAGUGAAGAGGCGACUCCGGGAUGCUGGCCUUCUAGGCAGAGUUCCCCUGACCUGUGUCUGUGUUCUUUUGCUCAUCUUGAUCUUUUCUUUUCAUUGGCCGUUCUGAGAGUUGGCUUUUAUUUUGCAUCUCUGCCUAGAAGGCCAGCAUCCCGGAGUCGCCUCUUUAAAUCAAAUCAAAUCAAAGUUUGUUUGUCACAUGCGCUGAAUACAACAGGUGUAGUAGACCUUACAGUGAAAUGUUUACUUACAGGCUCUAUCCAAUAGUGCAAAAAAGGUAUUAGGUGAACAAUAGGUGGGUAAAGAAAUAAAACAACAGUAAAAAGACAGGCUAUAUACAAUAGCGAGACUAUAAAAGUAGCGAGGCUACAUACAGACACCGGUAAGUCAGGCUGAUUGAGGUAGUAUGUACAUGUAGAUAUGGUUAAAGUGACGAUGCAUAUAUGAUGAACAGAGAAUAGCAGUAGCGUAAAAGAGGGGUUGGCG